UCGGGAAUUUUGGGCAAUGGGCGAAAGCCUGACCCAGCAACGCCGCGUGAAGGAUGAAGUAUUUCGGUAUGUAAACUUCGAAAGAAUAGGAAGAAUAAAUGACGGUACUAUUUAUAAGGUCCGGCUAACUACGUGCCAGCAGCCGCGGUAAUACGUAGGGACCAAGCGUUGUUCGGAUUUACUGGGCGUAAAGGGCGCGUAGGCGGCAAUUCAAGUCAUCUGUGAAAUCUCCGGGCUUAACUCGGAACGGUCAGAUGAUACUGCUUUGCUAGAGUGCAGAAGGGGCAAUCGGAAUUCUUGGUGUAGCGGUGAAAUGCGUAGAUAUCAAGAGGAACACCUGAGGUGAAGACGGGUUGCUGGGCUGACGCUGACGCUGAGGCGCGAAAGCCAGGGGAGCAAACGGGAUUAGAUACCCCAGUAGUCCCUGAGCGGGCUGGCAAGGCGCAU
rnacentral:rRNA from 1 species